rnacentral:rRNA from 1 species
GACGAACGCUGGCGGCGUGCUUAACACAUGCAAGUCGAACGAAGUGGCGAACGGGUGAGUAACGCGUAAUCAACCUGCCCUUCAGAGGGGGACAACAGUUGGAAACGACUGCUAAUACCGCAUACUGAAGGAGGGGAUUGCGUCUGAUUAGCUAGUUGGAGGGGCAACGGCCAACCAAGGCGAUGAUCAGUAGCCGGUCUUGGGGGAUGAACGGCCACAUUGGGACUGAGACACGGCCCAGACGCCGACGGGAGGCAGCAGUGGGGAAUCUUCCGCAAUGGACGAAAGGCUGACGAGGCAACGCCGCGUGAGUGAUGACGGCCUUCGGGUUGUAAAGCUCUGUUAAUCGGGACGCGGUACCGGAAUAGAAAGCCACGGCUAACUACGGGCCAGCAGCCGCGGUAAUUC